rnacentral:rRNA from 1 species
UGGGGAAUUUUGGACAAUGGGCGCAAGCCUGAUCCAGCAAUGCCGCGUGCAGGAUGAAGGCCUUCGGGUUGUAAACCGCUUUUGUCAGGGAAGAAACGAGUUUCUCUAAUACAGAGACUUAAUGACGGUACCUGAAGAAUAAGCACCGGCUAACUACGUGCCAGCAGCCGCGGUAAUACGUAGGGUGCAAGCGUUAAUCGGAAUUACUGGGCGUAAAGCGUGCGCAGGCGGUUAUGCAAGACAGAUGUGAAAUCCCCGGGCUCAACCUGGGACCUGCAUUUGUGACUGCAAAGCGAGAGUACGGCAGAGGGGGAUGGAAUUCCGCGUGUAGCAGUGAAAUGCGUAGAUAUGCGGAGGAACACCGAUGGCGAAGGCAAUCCCCUGGACCUGUACUGACGCUCAUGCACGAAAGCGUGGGGAGCAAACA